ACUUCAGAAAAAUUCUUUUGCAUUUGAUUUCUUCUACACAGUUGAAUGGCCGUGUUACAGGGUUUCUGGAUUCUUUCUCUUUCUCUGCCGUAGCGACGUUGGUGUGGGCAUAAGUUACACCACCAACCGUCUCGCAAAAUCCAUAAAGCAUAUACAGAGAAGAAGGAGGGGGUUUUCUGGUGGCCAACUUCAUCUUGCACAUGAUGAGCCACCUUCCCGUUCAAGGUGAGAGUGGGAACAGUGAAAAUGGGGAAUGCAAAACACCAUUAAGGAGUAGAGGAAUGAAAAAAAAAACAUCCAUACUUGGGUUUUGUUGGCGUGAUAAUGCUAACAUUUAUAGUCAGGUAAUCAUCCAUUUCAUUUUAUGAUGAUUAAGUUGAGAAAUUUAGAAAUAAAUAUAGUGGUCUUGGUGGACUUAAUACGCUGGUGGAAUUCUUCUUUAUUUUACAGGUGAGAUUAGUCUUCCUUCUCAAAUACAAUUUUUCACAAGUAUUGCAGUUCAAUAGUGGAUUUUACUAAUGGUGAUAACGUCUAUAACUAUCAUUUCCUGCUUCGACUUAAUUUUGUUGUACUAAUUGUCAUUUGUUGACCAAAAUCAUUCAUAAAAAUGCUUUCUUCGGCAACUUCUCCCACAUUUCUAUGAAUUGUUGCAAAAUUUAGUUACUAUUAGAUUUUAGAGAACAAGUUAUUUGUCUGUUCAAACUAUUCACUUUUGACAAAUUUAUUGUUUUAUAGCGCAGAAACCAUUACAAACUUCGGACACCAAUAAACUGAUAAACACGUGCAGAUUUGGUUUGUGAGGUCUCCCAGGCUCCAUUGGAGAUUCGGGUUGUAUAUCGUGUUGUUGUACAAAGAAGGGUAACUUUCAGUCUGAAGUUCUCUUUGGUCCCUCUUAACAUCCUUUAUUUCCCAGGAUUUUGUUCAUAUGGUUAGUUGUUGUAAAUGUAACUGAGUUUCGCAAAUCAAUUACUCAAUUACGUACCUGCAGAAUCACAGACUUUGGGUGUACUCUUCAAUGUACUCAAGCCAGCACAGAAAUUCUUCAAAAAUAAUAUCCACAAAAUGCACACCGAACUACUUACUGUGCCUGAAGGAACUUAUGUAGGUUCGCGUCAUUGAAAAUAUACUUAAAUGAUGCUUCAAGGAGGGCACUCCUAGCAGAACUUAAAAUGUACCACACCCUGGGAAGUUUUUAGUCGAAAAUUGCACUCAUUGAAGACGACGUGACGAAAUAAUCAAGAAGAUGCCACUAAAAGAAUUGCUUAUAGAAUCUUCCCUAAAUAUAUGGUUGAUUUUAGAAUCAUUGAAAUUCUUCGUACAUUUAACUUUUCUACCGUUUCAAAUUUUACUGUUUAGUACUUAAUCUCUUGCUUUCCCUUAAUUUUGUUGUUGUUAAGUUGAAGUGAUUUUUAUUUGACCUUUUUUUUUUCCA